rnacentral:rRNA from 1 species
AUUGAACGCUGGCGGAAUGCUUUACACAUGCAAGUCGAACGGUAGAGGGGGCAACCCCUUGAGAGUGGCGAACGGGUGAGUAAUAUAUCGGAACGUGCCCAGUCGUGGGGAUAACGUAGCGAAAGUUACGCUAAUACCGCAUACGAUCUAAGGAUGAAAGCGGGGGAUCGCAAGACCUCGCGCGAUUGGAGCGGCCGAUAUCAGAUUAGGUAGUUGGCGAGGUAAAGGGCUCACCAAGCCAACGAUCUGUAGCUGGUCUGAGAGGACGACCAGCCACACUGGAACUGAGACACGGUCCAGACUCCUACGGGAGGCAGCAGUGGGGAAUUUUGGACAAUGGACGCAAGUCUGAUCCAGCCAUUCCGCGUGCAGGAUGAAGGCCCUCGGGUUGUAAACUGCUUUGUACGGAACGAAAAGGUUUGUCUUAAUACGAUGAGCUCAUGACGGUACCGUAAGAAUAAGCACCGGCUAACUACGUGCCAGCAGCCGCGGUAAAGU